CAAUUUCCAUAUAAAAUUCAAAAAAUUAAAAUCAAUUUUCACUUAAAUGGCUUUCGCGAAAUUGGCUUUUAAUGCCUGAAAAUAA